UUCAUGAGGCUUGCAUAACUAAUUGGUUAUGGAUCAGAUAUAGAAAGAAGUCCUGUCAACAGUGCUUCACUCAGCAUGCUACCUUGGCCUAAGCCCGCAGUUUGGCCUUUAGUUCCACCUGAUGCUUCAUCUGAGGUGUUUGAGAAGGAAAAGAUGAUUCUUCAAACAACACCAAGGGUUAAGCACUUUGGUAUUCAGAGGAAGCCAUUACCUCUUGAACCAUCUUUACUUCUGCGUGAAGCUAAUCGCCAAAGGGCUUCUCUUUCUGCUGGGAAUGUGUUUGAAUUAUUUGAUGGUCGCUCAGCUUUUAUUGAUGGCUUAGGUUCAGAUGCAUCUCCGAGGAAGCCCCCUUCAGCUAAAGUAAAUACUGUUUCCAUGUCAAGAACUAAUUCUUUACCCGGAAACUUUGAAAGCUGCAUCGAUCGACCUAUGAGACUUGCAGAGAUAUGUGUUAAUGCUGAGCAUGCUCUGCAGAAUGGUGGACCAGCAUCAGUGAUGAUUUUAUGAGUUAUGAGAAGCCAACAAGACCCAUUCUAAAGGUGUUUAAACCAAGGUCUCUGGUCGAUCUUGCUGCAUCUGUUUCAUCUGCUUUGCUUAUUAAUGAACCUCAAUGGGAUGGAAUGUUUGCCUUGUUGAUGCAUACGACAAAGAGAGAUUUGCAGAGGCUAAAAAGGAGCUGGAUGCCCUCCUCUCAGACGAUUCACUUGCAAAUGUCCCGUUUCUCAUACUUGGGAACAAGAUUGACAUACCCUAUGCUGUCUCAGAGGAUGAGUUGAGAUAUUACUUGGGUUUGACUGGUGUUACUACCGAUAAGGGUAAUGUUGACCUCGCUGACUCAAAUGUCCGUCCUAUUGAGGUCUUCAUGUGCAGUAUCGUGCGCAAGAUGGGAUAUGGUGAUGGCUUUAAGUGGCUUUCCCAAUACAUUAAGUAGGAGAAUCAGAGAAUGGUUUAAGAAGAAAGCGAAUGUGCAAAGCCAUCUAAGGGUAACUUUCAUGCCACUGCUGCAUGAAUGGAUAUAUUGGGAAUGUAAAGUUUAAUAUGUAGCUUUUACCUUGUUAUCUUGCAGACAGUCUUGCUAUUUUUUUGGUAGGGAAGGUUAAGUUGAUUCUGUUCCCUCUCUGUGUCUAUCUCUCUUUGUACUUGACACAAUUGUAAAGAAAUAAAGUUGUGGGGAAAUGUU